AGCUGGAGGACGAGUCCCAAAUAGGACGAAAUGCGCGUCAUCCCGGAU
rnacentral:hammerhead_ribozyme from 1 species